UACGAAGGGGGCUAGCGUUGCUCGGAAUCACUGGGCGUAAAGGGUGCGUAGGCGGGUCUUUUAAGUCAGGGGUGAAAUCCUGGAGCUCAACUCCAGAACUGCCCUUGAUACUGAAGGUCUUGAGUUCGGGAGAGGUGAGUGGAACUGCGAGUGUAGAGGUGAAAUUCGUAGAUAUUCGCAAGAACACCAGUGGCGAAGGCGGCUCACUGGCCCGAUACUGACGCUGAGGCACGAAAGCGUGGGGAGCAAACAGG
rnacentral:rRNA from 1 species